UGACCAAGAGCAGCCUAGAACCGAAGUCCUGCUAGUCGCCUCCGUCUGGGUACCAGCCCCCUAUUACUCUGCAGGCGUGUGAAGGAAGAAGGAAACUAGCCCCGGACCGCGAGGUUUGUAGGUCUGUUGGCCCAUAGGUCGCCUCAAACGUCGUGCCGAGGGAAGGAGCAAACUGCCUUGGGACUGUGCAGGUCCGUGUGAAGUUCUCCAAAGCCAGCUAUCUGUUUUUCUGACCUUCUGCCAGACUGUCCAUCAGUCUCCGCGGAAGGAGUGCUGACAACAGAAGACAAGGGAAGAAGAAAUUUACCUGACUUUGGUAGAGGUUGGUGGGAGAAACCUACCUGUGAAUCUUUGGGGAAGGGGUGGCGGUGGAGGAAACUACCCGAGCCUUUGCCUCUCCAUGUCACCCUCCUGGCUAUCAUAGCACAGCCCCAAACCCUGCCCUUUUCUGUAGGGCCUGGAAGAGAAAUGGUGGGUCGUGGGGGUAGAUAGAGGAUGACAAAAAGGAACAAAGAACUAGUUUCCUAAUAAUCAACCUCUCUCAACCGGAACUCAAAUUCCACUUUGUUUGUAUAGUGAGGCACAAACUCAGACACAACACAACGCCUUAAUGCCAUUUUGCACCCAUAGAUUCAUCACAGGAGAGCUACAGGAGCCCAGGAGAGGCUGAAGAGGACUGCUGCUCCACCAUUACUCACCCUGGCCCUCAGAAUCCUCCUGAAUCAGGUGGAACAAGGCCCUCUCCUGUCCUGUCCAAAGGCUGACACGGACUUGAGCAUGGGCAGGGCUCGGGAAGUGGGUUGGAUGGCAGCAGGACUGAUGAUUGGGGCUGGUGCCUGCUACUGUGUUUACAAACUAACCAUAGGAAGAGAUGACAGUGACAAGUUGGAGGAGGAGGAAGAGGAAUGGGAUGAUGACCAGGAGCUGGAUGAGGAGGAACCUGAGCUUUGGUUUGAUUUCACAACUAUGGCUCGGCCCUGGAGUGAGAAUGGGGAUUGGACCGAACCGGGGGCCCCUGGUGGCACCGAGGACAGGCCCUCAGGUGGGGGCAAGGCCAGCCGAACACACCCAGUAAAACAGCGCCCAUUCCCUUAUGAACAUAAAAAUACUUGGAGCACUCAAAGCUUUAGAAAUUUCAGGUGUGUACUUGACCUCUCUAAGUGUCCUUUCAUUCAGG